rnacentral:rRNA from 1 species
UGGUAUCCUGUCUGAAUAUGGGGGGACCAUCCUCCAAGGCUAAAUACUCCUGACUGACCGAUAGUGAACCAGUACCGUGAGGGAAAGGCGAAAAGAACCCCGGCGAGGGGAGUGAAAAAGAACCUGAAACCGUGUACGUACAAGCAGUGGGAGCACAGGUUUACCUGUGUGACUGCGUACCUUUUGUAUAAUGGGUCAGCGACUUAUAUUCUGUAGCAAGGUUAACCGAAUAGGGGAGCCGCAGGGAAACCGAGUCUUAACCGGGCGUUAAGUUGCAGGGUAUAGACCCGAAACCCGGUGAUCUAGCCAUGGGCAGGUUGAAGGUUGGGUAACACUAACUGGAGGACCGAACCGACUAAUGUUGAAAAAUUAGCGGAUGACCUGUGGCUGGGGGUGAAAGGCCAAUCAAACCGGGAGAUAGCUGGUUCUCCCCGAAAGCUAUUUAGGUAGCGCCUCGUGAACUCAUCUCCGGGGGUAGAGCACUGUUUCGGCUAGGGGGUCAUCCCGACUUACCAACCCGAUGCAAACUGCGAAUACCGGAGAAUGUUAUCACGGGAGACACACGGCGGGUGCUAACGUCCGUCGUGAAGAGGGAAACAACCCAGACCGCCAGCUAAGGUCCCAAAGUCAUGGUUAAGUGGGAAACGAUGUGGGAAGGCCCAGACAGCCAGGAUGUUGGCUUAGAAGCAGCCAUCAUUUAAAGAAAGCGUAAUAGCUCACUGGUCGAGUCGGCCUGCGCGGAAGAUGUAACGGGGCUAAACCAUGCACCGAAGCUGCGGCAGCGAC